rnacentral:rRNA from 1 species
GACGAACGCUGGCGGCGUGCCUAAUACAUGCAAGUAGGACGCAGUUGCGAACGGGUGAGUAACGCGUAGGUAACUACCUAUUAGAGGGGGAUAACUAUUGGAAACGAUAGCUAAUACCGCAUACUAGUAGAUGGACCUGCGUUGUAUUAGCUAGUAGGUCGGGGAAUGGGCUACCUAGGCAACGGUACAUAGCCGACCUGGCAGGGGGAUCGGCCACAAGGGGACUGGGACACGGCCCAGACCCCUACGGGAGGCAGCAGUAGGGAAUCUUCGGCAAUGGGGGGAACCCUGACCGAGCCACUCCGCGGGAGUGAAGAAGUGUUUCGGAUCGUAAAGCUCUGUUGUUAAGGAAGCGGUACUUAACCAGAAAGGGACGGCUAACUACGUGCCAGCAGCCGCGGUAAUUC